GCGACUCUGUGCCUUGCUGAGGAAAAACAACUAAACAUGGGCAAAGAAGAUCCUAAGAUGCCAAGAGGCAAGGUGUCGUUAUACACAUUUUUUGUGCAAACUUGUCAGGAGGAACAUAAGCAGCACACAGAUGCUUCAGUCUGAGAAGUGCUCAGAGAGGUGGAAGACCAUGUCUGCUAAAAAGAAAGGAAAAUUUGAAGAUAUGCCAGAGGCAGACAAGACCCAUCAUGAAAGAGAAACGAAAACCUAUAUCCCUCCUAAAGGGGAGGUAAAAAAGAAGUUCAAGGAUCCCCAUGCACUCAAGAGGCCUCCUGUUCUAUUCUGAGUAUCGCCCAAAAAUCAAAGGAGAACAUCCUGGCCUGUCCCUUGGUGAUGUUGCGAAGAAACCGGGAGAGAUGUGGAGUAACACUGCUGCAGAUGACAAGCAGCCUUAUGAAAAGAAGGCUGUGAAGCUGAAGGAAAGAUAUGAAAAGGAUAUUGCUGCAUAUCGAGCUAAAGAAAAGCCUGCUGCAGCAAAACAGGGAGUUGUCAAGGCUGAGAAAGCAAGAAAAAAAAGGAGGAAGAGGAAGAUGAUGAUGAUGAAUAAGUUGGCUCUAGCACAGAUUUUUUUCUUGUCUAUAAAGCAUUUAACCCUCCUGUAUACAACUCACAUAUUUUAAAGAAAAAAAUGGAAAUGUAAGACUAUGUAAGAUUUGUUUUUAAACUGUACAGUGUCUUUUUUUUGUAUAGCUAACACACUACCGAAUGUGUCUUUAGAUAGCCCUGUCCUGGUGGUAUUUUCAGUAACCACUAACCUUGCCUGGUACAGUAUGGGGGUUGUAAAUUGGCAUGGAAAUUUAAAGCAGGUUCUUGUUGGUACACAGCACAAAUUAGUUAUAUAUGGGGAUGGUAGCUUUUUCAUCUUCAGUUGUCUCUGAUGCAGCUUAUGUGAAAUAAUUGUUGUCCUGUUCACUGAAAACCACUCUGUAAUCGCAAAAAAUUAAGUUGCAGCUGUUUUGUUGACAUUCUGAAUGCUUCUAAAUAAAUACAAUUUUUUAAAUU